GAUGAACGCUGGCGGCGUGCCUAAUACAUGCAAGUCGAGCGAACAGACGAGGAGCUUGCUCCUCUGACGUUAGCGGCGGACGGGUGAGUAACACGUGGAUAACCUACCUAUAAGACUGGGAUAACUUCGGGAAACCGGAGCUAAUACCGGAUAAUAUAUUGAACCGCAUGGUUCAAUAGUGAAAGACGGUUUUGCUGUCACUUAUAGAUGGAUCCGCGCCGCAUUAGCUAGUUGGUAAGGUAACGGCUUACCAAGGCAACGAUGCGUAGCCGACCUGAGAGGGGGAUCGGCCACACUGGAACUGAGACACGGUCCAGACUCCUACGGGAGGCAGCAGUAGGGAAUCUUCCGCAAUGGGCGAAAGCCUGACGGAGCAACGCCGCGUGAGUGAUGAAGGUCUUCGGAUCGUAAAACGCUGUUAUUAGGGAAGAACAAAUGUGUAAGUAACGAUGCACGUCUUGACGGUACCUAAUCAGAAAGCCACGGCGAACUACGU
rnacentral:rRNA from 1 species